CUCGCUUUGUAUUACUAUUUAUUCUUUGAUUUCAUAAUAAACCUUCAUGUGUUGAUUGAUUAGGAUUAUUGUAAUCAUGUUUGAUUUUAGUUCAUGUUAAACCUUAAUAUUUGUCUUCGAUUUCACAAUAAAACUGAUAUGCUUACAUAGGAAAUAACAUUCCAAUCUCUAGGGCUUAAUCGCCUGAAGUCCUGAACAACAAAUCUUGAAAAAAAUGGAUGGUUCAUCCCAAAGUCAGUGAUGACCAGAAACUAUAGGUUCUAUCACGGAGAGAAGGAGCAGUGGUUAUCGUGAAAAAUUCAUAGGAAGAUUCUUCCGUAAUAAGUGGUGUUGCUUAUAAGCUACCACCAAGCCACAACCUCUCUCUCUCUCUAUAAAUUCCAUAUAAAGAUGAGAACUAACAGCAGCUGAAUUUUACAGUCAGUGAUGUCUUCAUCUCCACAUAUCUCUGAUUCACUCAACACGUUUAUGUAAUUUAGUCUAGAAGAAACGACGAAGGAGGAACUGCAAUAAACGACCAUCGCCGACCUGACUUGAUUACAGGAGAUUUUGAGAAGAGCUAUUGGUUUUCAUAUUACCUCUUUGAACCAUUAGAGGGUUGCUUAAGAGCAGAUGAGUCACAUAUCAACGGCGGAUUUAGCUAGGAUCCAACAACAGGUCAGUAAUUACUUUCAUUAUUUAAGUGAUUUAUCGUUUAAUACAGAAACGAAUAUUUAAUUAGGUUUUGAAGAAUUUGAUGUAGAAUAUAAUAAAAUAUAGAAGCAAUUUUGAAUGAUGUGAUUGUUUUUUAGUAUAUCCUAAGCGACCAGAUACCUUUUAGAUUACGAUUUUAGGUUGGUAUUGUUUAUGGUGUACCUUAUCCUACGAGAUUUGCCGAGUCAAAGGCCUGAUCAUUGAAUAUUAUCGUACGAGGUUUGCGGCCUGAUCAACACUUCACAAAAACAGAGUUAUUACUUCAACCAUAAUUCAAAAGAAUGCCGUCAUUUACCACAACUCCGAGAAGCUCUGCUUAUUUCUCUGCUCUGACACAAGAGACCGAUAAAAAGCUUCAAAAGGUGAUAGCUUUACCGAAUCAGAGACGCGAUUUCUUACAAGCAUUGUUUCCUGAUAUAGCUUUGGAAGUUGAUGAUCGAGCUAGAGGUACUUUUCAUGUUCUUGCAGCCACUCCUCAACAACACCAUCAAUCCAAACUUAUUCAUGUAGUGCUUCUUGGUCAAACAACCAUGGUUGAUCGUAGCUCAUCUUUAUAAAAUCUUUCCCGGGUGAAAAGCAAGAUUCAAUGAUCAUGAUCAGGUGGAAGAUGAGAUCUGUGGAUCACCAAUGGUUUUGAAGCUGUGUCCUUUGGAUUUUGAUCAUUGUACGCCUGUGGAAUACAGGUUUGUGCUGAGGGCUAAUUUUUCUAUGUCCCCCCUUGAUAAGAACUAGAGCAACUGAGAAGGAUGGAGUCUCGGAUGGUGGGAUUAGAGCUCUGCGGGUGGGCAUUGUUAUCAAAGAUGAUGGAAUGUCCUGCAGCAAGAAUGAGUUGUGCUGUCAGUGCUUAGGUGAUGAAGUAUUCGAGGGGUAAAAGUACGAUUCGCGACAAAGAUUUUAGGAAGUCCCUUUAAUACAACUUUGAGAAGAUUUUUAAACAACACUUUUGGAAAGUUCACAAGGUUAUUGGCUACCUGUUCAUACUCAUCUUAGCACCUAUCCUCUUAAGCAUUGAGGAAGGGUUAAGAAAUGUUUAAACUUGCAUAUUCAUCCGAUCUCAUCACUAAACAUGAGCCGAGCAAUCAUCCUAGAGAAAAGACUUGAAAGCAACAACCCAUAGAUAGUACUGUAUACAUAUAGGUAUUCAAUUCAUUUUUUUUUUUUUUGUUAAUUGUGUGAUUUUAGAUGUGAAUUUGAGCAACUAUGAGGAACGGUACCUGUGGAUUACUAUAAUAUUAUUUAGUAGCAUAUAUUAAAACUUCUAAAA